rnacentral:rRNA from 1 species
GAUGAACGCUGGCGGCGUGCCUAAUACAUGCAAGUCGAGCGAACAGACGAGGAGCUUGCUCCUCUGACGUUAGCGGCGGACGGGUGAGUAACACGUGGAUAACCUACCUAUAAGACUGGGAUAACUUCGGGAAACCGGAGCUAAUACCGGAUAAUAUAUUGAACCGCAUGGUUCAGUAGUGAAAGACGGUUUUGCUGUCACUUAUAGAUGGAUCCGCGCCGCAUUAGCUAGUUGGUAAGGUAACGGCUUACCAAGGCAACGAUGCGUAGCCGACCUGAGAGGGUGAUCGGCCACACUGGAACUGAGACACGGUCCAGACUCCUACGGGAGGCAGCAGUAGGGAAUCUUCCGCAAUGGGCGAAAGCCUGACGGAGCAACGCCGCGUGAGUGAUGAAGGUCUUCGGAUCGUAAAACUCUGUUAUUAGGGAAGAACAAAUGUGUAAGUAACUAUGCCCGUCUUGACGGUACCUAAUCAGAAAGCCACGGCUAACUACGUG